rnacentral:rRNA from 1 species
UACGAAGGGGGCUAGCGUUGUUCGGAGUUACUGGGCGUAAAGGGCGCGUAGGCGGCGCACCAAGUCAGGCGUGAAAGCCCUGGGCUCAACCCGGGAAUUGCGCUUGAGACUGGUGUGCUUGAGUACGGGAGAGGAUAGUGGAAUUCCCAGUGUAGAGGUGAAAUUCAUAGAUAUUGGGAAGAACACCGGUGGCGAAGGCGGCUAUCUGGACCGUAACUGACGCUGAGGCGCGAAAGCGUGGGGAGCAAACAGG